CACCCAUCGUCUCUGUGUAUUAAAACCCUAGAGUGAAAUUCCGUGUCUAAAUUGUUCAAUCUCGUGUUUUUAAAUGUUGCUGGUUGAUUCAGUUGUUUAACCUAAUUGUUUCCUCUAAUUUCUGAGAGAACAUGGGAAGAGAAGAAAUUUAAAUCGUCGACUAGAUUUUUCAUUAUUUAGGGGCUGGAAAAUUAAAACCUUUAUUAUACUGAGCUUGGUGAUACAACUAUGUUGAGCGUUUUGUAUAUUCAUUUUUCACAAUUUGUGCUAUAGUGAAAAAACUAAAAUGAAAGAGGCCAGAGGAAGUUUUACAGUGAUUUUCCUUUUUCUUUACGCAAAUAGAGAUAAAUUAAGGAAUACCUGUCAGAAUGCGGGAAUGCCACCGUAUAGCGAGGAAGUAUAAAGAGAGCACCACAGAAUGAAGAGACAAAAUAAACAGGAACUACUUCCUAGUCCUAGCUUAAACUUUCAAUGAAAUCCAACAAGGGGCAAUUACCACCCCUAAUGGGAUUUUCGACCAUUUCUCCUUAAAAUCGCAAGUCAUUCCUGCUCUCCCCAAAUGCACCAGAACAAGCAGAGAUGAGCCAUUCUCCACACUUUUCUCCUCCUCUAAUCCAGCUUUCAAGCAGGCAGCCCUAGAAGAAGAGAUUAUGCCCUGAAGAACUCACUACAAUCCAAAAAUUGUGAAUAAGAGAUCCCACUGCAAAAGGGCUUUGUCAUAGGAAAUAAGAAUAUGGUUUGUUGUCUCCUAUCAAGUUUUACAUUAGCUACAUUUGUUUUGAGAGAACAGCCCUCAAAGGGAACCUCAAAUCUCCUUUGCUAGGAACUGCAGCAAGCUCACAGAAGGCAAAGAGUGGUAAAAAGAGUUCACCAUGAAACAGCCCUCUGUUGCCCUUCUUCCACAAGCUACCCACCCCUACCCUAACCAGGCUUAUGGAAUGAAUGCACUCCAGAAGGUUUAGAAGGUUUUCUAUAUGGAGACAUGGAGAAUGGGAAGAAAUAUCAUUUAGUAGGCUGGAGGGAGGUGUGGUCUCCUUUGAUUUAGGUGCUAGGUUGUUUUGUUUGUUUAAUGAAAUCGUGUUAUAAGAAUGGUUGUUGACAUAUGCUAUAUAAAAAUAAAGUUUGCGGGGAGGAGUUGUGCCUGGGAAAUAUAUGAAGUUCCUAUGGGUGUGCCAUUGAAAUGUGGAAGGAUAUUAGAAAGGAGUAGGGUGGUUUUUCCAAAUUUGUGGUUUUUGAGGUUGGGUGUGCAAAAAGUGCACUUUUAGAGUAGAAUUGUGGAUCAAGUGGUGUAUAUCACUAGUAAGGUUUUUAGUUCUGGUUAAUGGUGCUCCAAUAGGCUUCUUUAAGAGUUCUAGGAGUCUAAGACAAGAAGAUCCUCUCUCACCCUUUUUGUUUGUAAUUGCUAUGGAGGCUUUUAAUUGUUUGCUCAAGGGGGCUAAGGUUGGAGGGUUCUUGGGUAAAGGUGUUAACUUUGGACCGUUUAAAGAGGAGAGGGUGGUUUUUAACAAAUAGAUGUUUCCUUUGUCUUGAAGAGGAAGAGACCAUUGACCACAUCUUUAUCCAUUGUGUCAAGACAAGAGUGUUAUGGAACCUUUUGUUCUCUUUGCUUGGUGUGCUUUGGAUACUUCCUUCCUUACUUAGAGACACGCUCUUAGAAUGGCAUGGUUCUUUUGUGGGUAAAAGGCGUAAAAAGGUGUGCGGGCAGCUCCUCUUUGCUUGUUUUGGACCGUUUGGAAGGAAAG